GGAAUUUUCCGCAAUGGGCGAAAGCCUGACGCAGCCAUGCCGCGUGUGUGAAGAAGGCCUUCGGGUUGUAAAGCACUUUCAAUUGGGAGGAAAGCUGUGACGUUACCUUUAGAAGAAGCACCGGCUAACUCCGUGCCAGCAGCCGCGGUAAUACAGAGGAUGCAAGCGUUACCCGGAAUCACUGGGCAUAAAGCGUCUGUAGGUGGUUUGGUAAGUCGACUGUUAAAUCGUAGAGCUUAACUCUAUAUCGGCAGUCGAAACUACUUCGCUUGAGUGUGGUAGGGGCAGAGGGAAUUCCCGGUGUAGCGGUGAAAUGCGUAGAUAUCGGGAAGAACACCAGUGGCGAAGGCGCUCUGCUGGGCCAUAACUGACGCUCAUGGACGAAAGCCAGGGGAGCGAAAGGGAUUAGAUACCCCAGUAGUC
rnacentral:rRNA from 1 species